GAACGGAAAGGCCCAAGCUUGCUUGGGUACUCGAGUGGCGAACGGGUGAGUAACACGUGGGUGAUCUGCCCUGCACUUCGGGAUAAGCCUGGGAAACUGGGUCUAAUACCGGAUAGGACCACUUCUUGGAUGUUGUGGUGGAAAGUUUUUUCGGUGUGGGAUGAGCUCGCGGCCUAUCAGCUUGUUGGUGGGGUAAUGGCCUACCAAGGCGUCGACGGGUAGCCGGCCUGAGAGGGUGUACGGCCACAUUGGGACUGAGAUACGGCCCAGACUCCUACGGGAGGCAGCAGUGGGGAAUAUUGCACAAUGGGCGCAAGCCUGAUGCAGCGACGCCGCGUGGGGGAUGACGGCCUUCGGGUUGUAAACUCCUUUCGCUAGGGACGAAGCGUUUUGUGACGGUACCUGGAGAAGAAGCACCGGCUAACUACGUGCCAGCAGCCGCGGUAAUACGUAGGGUGCGAGCGUUGUCCGGAAUUACUGGGCGUAAAGAGCUCGUAGGUGGUUUGUCGCGUCGUUUGUGUAAGCCCGCAGCUUAACUGCGGGACUGCAGGCGAUACGGGCAUAACUUGAGUGCUGUAGGGGAGACUGGAAUUCCUGGUGUAGCGGUGGAAUGCGCAGAUAUCAGGAGGAACACCGAUGGCGAAGGCAGGUCUCUGGGCAGUAACUGACGCUGAGGAGCGAAAGCAUGGGGAGCGAACAGGAUUAGAUACCCUGGUAGUCCAUGCCGUAAACGGUGGGCGCUAGGUGUGAGUCCC
rnacentral:rRNA from 1 species